rnacentral:lncRNA from 1 species
ACAGCUUCCAGCAUGUGUUGUGAAACAUUUCUUCUAAUUUCUAAAAUUGAAACAAUUACUAUGAUCUACAAAAUUUGAAGAACAACUAUGAAUCAAUAAUUUACUGCUAUAAUCAACAAAGGAUAAAUUAACUUCAUCUGACACAUGCUGAAUAAUCUACAUAAAUAUGAUUGCAAGUCAUGGCAAGUAUUCGUAAGUGGAUUUGAGAAAGUCCAUGCAUGGGAGCAGGACAAAGAGAAAUAAUCUGAUCAUCCCUAAGAGGUUUCAAGAAUGAGCAAUUGCGUAAAGCUGAGUCCUGG